AUGCUUGCUUUGGCAGCACAUAUGCUAAAAUUGGAACGAUACAGAGAAGAUUAGCAUGGCUCCUGUGCAAGGAUGACAUGGAAAUUCGUGAAGCGUUCCAUAUUUUU
rnacentral:snRNA from 1 species